rnacentral:lncRNA from 1 species
UUCAAGAGCCCAUCUAUGCCACCAUCGGCGCGGGUGUGGUUAAUACUAUCUUCACUGUAGUUUCCUAUUUCUGGUGGAAAGGGCAGGAAGAAGGACUCUGCAUAUGAUAGGCCUUGGAGGGAUGGCUUUUUGUUCCACGCUCAUGACUGUUUCUUUGUUAUUAAAGAUAACUAUAAUGGGAUGAGCUUUGUCUGUAUUGGGGCUAUCUUGGUCUUUGUAGCCUUCUUUGAAAUUGGACCAGGCCCCAUUCCCUGGUUUAUUGUGGCCGAACUCUUCAGCCAGGGCCCCCGCCCAGCUGCGAUGGCAGUGGCCGGCUGCUCCAACUGGACCUCCAACUUCCUAGUCGGAUUGCUCUUCCCCUCCGCUGCCACUAUUUAGGAGCCUACGUUUUUAUUAUCUUCACCGGCUUCCUCAUUACCUUCUUGGCUUUUACCUUCUUCAAAGUCCCUGAGA